GUGCUGUGAAGAUAAUUGUGCAAAUGUGAAAACUUUGGGGGUCUUCACCAUGCCUGAUAAUCAGACGACAAAAUAGCACAUCUGAGCCU